UCGAGAAUUUUUCUCAAUGGGGGAAACCCUGAAGGAGCGACGCCGCGUGGAGGAUGAAGGUCUUCGGAUUGUAAACUCCUGUCAUUGGUGAACAAGGUCUACCGGGUAACUACCGGUGGGAUUGAUAGUAGCCGAAGAGGAAGAGACGGCUAACUCUGUGCCAGCAGCCGCGGUAAUACAGAGGUCUCAAGCGUUGUUCGGAUUCAUUGGGCGUAAAGGGUGCGUAGGCGGCGAGGCAAGUCUGGUGUGAAAUCCCGGGGCUCAACCCCGGAACUGCACUGGAUACUGCUUUGCUAGAGUACUGGAGAGGGAACUGGAAUUUACGGUGUAGCAGUGAAAUGCGUAGAUAUCGUAAGGAAGACCAGCGGCGAAGGCGAGUUCCUGGACAGUUACUGACGCUGAGGCACGAAGGCCAGGGGAGCAAACG
rnacentral:rRNA from 1 species